rnacentral:rRNA from 1 species
UACGUAGGGGGCUAGCGUUGUCCGGAAUCAUUGGGCGUAAAGCGCGUGUAGGCGGUCCGGUAAGUCCGCUGUGAAAGUCGGGGGCUCAACCCUCGAAAGCCGGUGGAAACUGCCGGGCUAGAGUGCGGAAGAGGCGAGUGGAAUUCCUGGUGUAGCGGUGAAAUGCGCAGAUAUCAGGAGGAACACCAAUUGCGAAGGCAGCUCGCUGGGACGUUACUGACGCUGAGACGCGAAAGCGUGGGGAGCAAACAGG